AAAAGGUGCCUCUUUGAUCCAUAUAGUUUGAUCCAUAUAGAAGAAACUUGACACUGAUCCAGUGACUUCUGUUCAGCAAGAUAUGCCUCUUACACAUUAGGGGGGGAUCUGUCUACAUUGGGCAAGUUUGUAUUAACACCAAGGGACACCAAAACAAUUUUCCGAAGAAGCUAAAAGUACUGGAUGUGUCAUACAAUGACAUUGUUACUCAAUGAGGUGCUCCACAUCUCCUGUGUUCUUUUUGUUACAGCAAACCAACAUGGUUACCUCUCUGAAAUUUGCUGCUGGAUGGGAUGCUUGAGGCUGAAUCCUUUGAGGAAUUGGGUGAAUUUUGGAUGCUUUGUUAUCUACUCCACACAGCACACUGAAAGACUAUAGAAUAACUUAUCCUCCAUGCACCCUGCGAUGAGAAUGCCCCAGCAACUUUCCAGAGACUGGUCAACCAGUUGCUAAAUGGGCCAUGCCAUUUUGCCCUUGCAUGUCUGGAUGACAUUGCGAUUUUCAGCUCUGGGACGAACAAUUGUUCAUAUGCCUCAGACCAGGGCCUAGGAGCUUUUCUGCUGCAAGAUGAUGCAACUAGAGAGCUACAUCCCAUUGCCUAUCUACAGCCGGAAGUUUCAACCCUGAGAGCAGCAGAACUAUGCCACAGUUGAGAAAGAGUGCCUUGCCAUUGUUUGGGCCCUCACCAAGCGUCAACUCUACGUGUGGGGGAGAAGGUUCACCUUGUAAACAGACCACUCCCCUCUUUGUCGGCUAGACAAGGCUAAAGGAACCAAUGCGAGAUUGUUGCAUUAGUUUUUGGCUCUACAAGACUCUGACUUUGAAACAAAGCACCUCAAGGGAAAGGACAAUGUGGCUUCUGACUCUUUGUCCCAAAGGCCUAUCUAAGGCCUCUUUUGUCACAAGAACCUACCAAAUAAGGUCCCCACUUGUUUGCUAUGUAUGAAAUAAUAUACCUGUAUGGCCAUCCAAAGAACUAUGUAUUGCCUUGUAUUCAAAUUGCCUCCCAAAAUGUGUAGCUAAUUAGUGUGCAUGCAUUAUUAUGCGAUGUAAUGGACCAUGAUAGUAGAAAGACUUUGAAUUUCCUGUUCAGGUUGAUGGGCGUGUUCAGAAGAGAACAGUGUCCCGAUCUGAAGAUAAGCGGAGAGGAAUGUGACAAAACACAGACCUCCAUCUUAGCUCAAGAAUGUCUUACACUCCACCCUGAGUGCUCUGAAUGGGGGACAUGCCUCCCUUUUAUCACUGAAUGAGGACAAUCUCUUACUUUUGCCGCUGAAGAGACAGGGCCAUCAAGGUACAGGCCUAAACCCUUUUCCAGAAUAGGUAACUGACUCAAACCAGACCCACCUUUAGACAAGUAAGUUUAGGUCCACUAAAGAGGAGGAAUCUCCAGUCUGAAGGGAAAAUCUCAAAUCCCAACUGGCCCCAAACCAGCAUGACAUCAGAGAUGUGUCAGGCCUUCUCAUUGGAUCCAAGAGCUGCGUAUCUUAGGAAGAGGAGGACAACCUUCCCCCUCCAUAAUGGCUAUAAAAAUAGAAGGCAAGGGCCAGGGGUGUAGCAAGGUUGGAGUGGGCCCAGAGACAAGAUUUUAAAAUGCCCCCCUCCCUCACUGAAGUAAAGAAAUCUUUAGCUCAUGAAGUAAAGAAAUCUUAAAUGGGGCUGAAUAGUGGUAACAAAAAGCAGAGUAAAAUGUAUAUAUCUAUGUGCCACAAUAGAUGGUACUAGAGAAAGUCAUGCUGUUUUGGUAGCUCCAGGUCUUAACACUCACAUCAGUUUAGGAGGAUGAAUACAACUGAAGGAAGCCUGGGCGGGUGCGCGGCUGGGGGAGUCAGUCAUGUGACUUGCCUCUGAGGGGGCCCCCCAAGGCAGGGGGCCCCCAGACAACUGUCUCCCCUUGCCCUAUCAUAGUUACGCCCCUGGCAAGGGCCUGGCCAGCGUUCACCAUUUUCCUUCUGCUAAUGAGUGUUCCAGGGAGAAGCUGUAGAGAUUAAUGCUCUCUCGGCCAAGGAUUGCUAGACUAAGGUAAAACUCAAUGCUCAGUUAGUUAGUUCAUUCAUUCAUAGUUUUUGUAUUUUCUUUUGAAUUCCUGUGUACUUUUCUUUACUUCCAGUUUUCCCUAUUUUCCCCAAUUCCUUAUUCUGUGUGCAAACCUUGCUUCUUUAUACAUGUCAUAUAUUUAGAAGUGGCUUCAGUCUGGUUUAAAAGGUUCUGGAGGGUUACUUGCAAACUCUUCUCCAUGUGCCUGGUAAAGUCAUGCACUA